AGCAACAUCAGGUUGACAAAGAGACUCUAGGAGGACUGAACGAAAGUCCACAGCAGGAUCCGGAUGGUGUAGCCCUGUCGCAGCAGCUUGAUGAGCCGAGCAGCUCUGAACAGCCUCAGGAAACUCAGGUUGAUCAUCUUAUCCUGGAAGAGACAGCAGAGACUCAGUGAGACAUAAAAAAAGAGACUCUGUCAUGAGUCAAUGUUUAGUUCA